rnacentral:rRNA from 1 species
AAAUUGAAGAGUUUGAUCAUGGCUCAGAUUGAACGCUGGCGGCAGGCCUAACACAUGCAAGUCGAGCGGCAGCGGGAAAGUAGCUUGCUACUUUUGCCGGCGAGCGGCGGACGGGUGAGUAAUGCCUGGGGAUCUGCCCAGUCGAGGGGGAUAACAGUUGGAAACGACUGCUAAUACCGCAUACGCCCUACGGGGGAAAGGAGGGGACCUUCGGGCCUUUCGCGAUUGGAUGAACCCAGGUGGGAUUAGCUAGUUGGUGGGGUAAUGGCUCACCAAGGCG